CGUACAUCACACAUUUGAUAAAAAGAAAAUCGAACUUCAUAGAUUGUCACAACCAGUCAUUUCGGUAUCAAACAAAACAAACAUAUAAAAUUUACAGUGUAAGAGAAUAUAUAUAUUUUACCACAUUAAAUCUAUCAAACAAAACCCCCAAAAAGACCAUUUUGUACAAACACAAAUACAAAAAAAAUGGAACUAAUUUUUUUUUAAUGUAUAGCUUCAAUAUUUAAAAGAUGGUGUAUGGUGUGGUUUUAAUUGGUAAUAAAAGUAAAGUAAAAUUUGAGCUCCAUGAAUGAUCUCCUUGUUGAUGAACAUGCUCUUUCACCAUAAUCAAUUAUAUCAAAAAACACAUGUUCCAAACCUCUCAAUAAGCACACAGUUUUCAAUACGAUCAUUCAAAUAUAAAUAAUCAAGAGGAAAACUGAACCCAUAUUCUCUUAUACAUCUAGCUCUCAGUUUGGUUAUGGAAGGCGAUAUGAUUAUGGAAAGAAAAAAUAUGUACCCAAAAAACCCAUAUUCUCUCAUACAUCUAGCUCUCUGAAAAAUAUGUACCCAAAAAACCCAUAUUCCCUCUGAAACUUAAAACAAAACCCAAUAAAGGGAAACCCAAGAGAGGCGUGUGAACAAGUAAAAUAAGAAGAAAUUGAAAUUGCCAUGAAAAAUUAUUACAAGAAAUAAUUGAAUCCAGUAAAGCAACUAAUCAAUUGAAAGGAAGCACACUUGUAAACAAAGCAACCAAGAAUAGGGAAAUACCAAGAAAGUAACAAUUUGAGAAGGAUGAGAGAAUGGAGAAAACGAAAAAAGGUGAGAUUAGAUAGAAGGUAAGAGAUAAAAGCAGAGCAAGUGCUAAGGGCUCACCUUUUAUUGGAGUUGAAGAUGGGUCUUUUCAUUUACGACAGUUGGAUAUUUGUUAUGUUCAGGAGGUAUAGUAGGGCCUUUAGUGUUGUUUUUGAGGGUGCUAAGGAAGUUAAUCUUACAACAAGGGGCUUUGUAUAGCAGGUGAGCCAUUUAUUGAUGGUUAGUGUCUUCAAGUGGGGUCAAUGAGUUAGGGCACAAAUGCAGGGUGGUUAAGUUGAGAAUUAG
rnacentral:lncRNA from 1 species